CGUAAGCAACGCGCAGAACCUUACCAGGGCUUGACAUGGGGAGGACCGGUUCAGAGAUGGACCUUUCCGCAAGGACCUCCCGCACAGGUGCUGCAUGGCUGUCGUCAGCUCGUGUCGUGAGAUGUUGGGUUAAGUCCCGCAACGAGCGCAACCCUCGCCUUUAGUUGCCAGCACGUUUGGGUGGGCACUCUAAAGGAACUGCCGGUGACAAGCCGGAGGAAGGUGGGGAUGACGUCAAGUCCUCAUGGCCCUUAUGUCCUGGGCUACACACGUGCUACAAUGGCGGUGACAGUGGGAUGCUAGGUCGCGAGGCCAAGCUGAUCUCCAAAAGCCGUCUCAGUUCAGAUUGCACUCUGCAACUCGGGUGCAUGAAGGUGGAAUCGCUAGUAAUCGCGGAUCAGCACGCCGCGGUGAAUACGUUCCCGGGCCUUGUACACACCGCCCGUCACACCAUGGGAGUUGGUUUGGCCUUAAGCCGGUGCGCCAACCGUAAGGGGGCAGCCGUCCACGGCCGG
rnacentral:rRNA from 1 species